rnacentral:lncRNA from 1 species
AGCUCAUAAGUAUUUAGUACAUGAUCUCAGUCUUCUUAGUAUCUCAGCUUAGAGGUUUCAUUUGGGGCGAAUGAUCCCAAGGAGGAGAUAUUUUAAUACCUCACAAGAUUCUAGACGAGUUUCCAGCUAUUCGUCUAAUGUUUAGAAGUCCCAAAUCCAUUUAAUUUACACUAUGUACAAGUGACAAGGUCAUUUAAAGACCCC